rnacentral:rRNA from 1 species
CCUACGGGAGGCAGCAGUGGGGAAUAUUGGGCAAUGGGCGCAAGCCUGAACCAGCCAAGCCGCGUAAAGGAAGAAGGCUCUCGGGUUGUUAACUUCUUUUGUCAGGGACGAAGCAAGUGACGGUACCUGACGAAUAAGCCACGGCUAACUACGUGCCAGCAGCCGCGGUAAUACGUAGGUGGCAAGCGUUAUCCGGAUUUACUGGGUGUAAAGGGCGUGUAGGCGGGGAAGUAAGUCAGAUGUGAAAACCACGGGCUCAACCUGUGGCUUGCAUUUGAAACUGGUUUUCUUGAGUGCUGGAGAGGCAAGCGGAAUUCGGGGUGUAGCGGUGAAAUGCGUAGAUAUACGGAGGAACACCAGUGGCGAAGGCGGAUUGCUGGACAGUAACUGACGCUGAGGCGCGAAAGCGUGGGGAGCAAACAGGAUUAGAUACCCGUGUAGUC